rnacentral:rRNA from 1 species
UACGAAGGGGGCUAGCGUUGCUCGGAUUUACUGGGCGUAAAGGGCGCGUAGGCGGAUGUUCAAGUCAGAGGUGAAAGCCCAGGGCUCAACCCUGGAACUGCCUUUGAAACUCGACAUCUGGAGUACGGGAGAGGUGAGUGGAACUCCGAGUGUAGAGGUGAAAUUCGUAGAUAUUCGGAAGAACACCAGUGGCGAAGGCGACUCACUGGCCCGUUACUGACGCUGAGGCGCGAAAGCGUGGGGAGCAAACAGG